AUGUUUUAUGAAAGGAGGGAAGAUUAGCAUUCCCCUUGACAGAGGAAGUAGAGGCACUCAGAACCAACAACACCCAUUCAGUUGAGCAUUACCACCUACUUCACAGCAUCUGACCAGGUUCUGU